rnacentral:rRNA from 1 species
UACGGAGGGUGCAAGCGUUAUCCGGAUUCACUGGGUUUAAAGGGAGCGUAGGUGGCCUUAUAAGUCAGUGGUGAAAUCUCUGGGCUUAACUCAGAAAUUGCCAUUGAUACUGUAGGGCUUGAGUAUAGUUGCCGUUGGCGGAAUAUGACAUGUAGUGGUGAAAUACAUAGAGAUGUCAUAGAACACCGAUUGCGAAGGCAGCUGACGAAACUAUAACUGACACUGAGGCUCGAAAGUGCGGGGAUCAAACAGG